rnacentral:rRNA from 1 species
GGGGGAAUAUUGGGCAAUGGGGGAAACCCUGACCCAGCAACGCCGCGUGAAGGAAGAAGGCCUUCGGGUUGUAAACUUUCUGUGACAGAGGACGAAGGAAGUGACGGUACUCUGAGAGGAAGCUCCGGCAAACUACGUGCCAGCAGCCGCGGUAAUACGUAGGGAGCGAGCGUUGUCCGGAAUUACUGGGCGUAAAGGGCGCGUAGGCGGGUUGGUAAGUUGUAUGUGAAAUCCCCGGGCUCAACCUGGGUCGUGCAUACAAAACUGCUGAUCUUGAGUGCGGUAGAGGGAAGUGGAAUUCCUAGUGUAGCGGUAAAAUGCAUAGAUAUUAGGAGGAACACCAGUGGCGAAGGCGACUUCCUGGGCCGUAACUGACGCUGAGGCGCGAAAGCGUGGGGAGCAAACAGG